rnacentral:lncRNA from 1 species
CUCCAAACUCAGCAAUUCAAUCCGAGUCCCUCACAGCGUGAGUAAAACACAUGAAUACCCCUCCAUGCGCGAUCUCACGCGAAACGGUACAUAAAAUAUCACGACUUUUCCAAAAUUACCAUUUUGCCAUCACCGACCUCUCCUCGAUCAACUCGCAAUCUCCGCAGAUCCGUCCGUCAGAUUUGCGAACGGAUCGCACCAGUGCGAUCAGCACGACGGAGACAACAAAGCUACGAUUUCGAUUCAUCUCGAUCGACUACGGAUUCACGACAAAAUCUAAUCUUUCUUCCAACAGAAGAAACAACACACAAAUACAUAUAAAACAUGUAUUUCUGGAUUUUCUCGAAAUUCGUGCGUCAAACUCAAAAUCUGCCAGCGUCAAAGUUUCAGAACAGCUAGACCG